rnacentral:rRNA from 1 species
UACGAAGGGGGCUAGCGUUGCUCGGAAUUACUGGGCGUAAAGGGUGCGUAGGCGGGUCUUUAAGUCAGAGGUGAAAUCCUGGAGCUCAACUCCAGAACUGCCUUUGAUACUGAGGAUCUUGAGUUCGGGAGAGGUGAGUGGAACUGCGAGUGUAGAGGUGAAAUGCGUAGAGAUCAGGAAGAAUACCUGUGGCGCAAGCGCCCACCUGGCCGAGACCUGACGCUGAGGCACGAAAGCGUGGGGAGCGAACCGG